rnacentral:lncRNA from 1 species
UCUCGCUUGAUAUUCUUUUCUUUUUCUUCUUCCUACUGAAUUCCUUCAUAAAGUUGAGAACACCAAGCACAUGUUUCCAUGUUUCAACCAUAGGAACCUUAAUCUCCAAUUUCUUGAAGAUCUUCAUAAAGCACUUGAACCUAUUUUCCCUCCUAUGAUUUUUCUUCUGAUGAGGAAAGGGUUUUGCAUAUGAUCUUUUCUUCCUUCCUCUCCUCCUCUUUUUCUCAAUCUCCCCCCUCAACUUUCUCUUUUUCUUUCUUUUUAUUUUCUUCUUUAUUUUUGCACAUUUUCUAUN